AUCCUCCCACCUCAGCCUCCCAAGCAGCUGGGACUACAGGAAAAUUGAUGCAGGCUGGUGUCCAAUGAAGAAGUCCCAGGUGCCUAGGAAGGAGAGGACUGUGCGCGAGCUGCAAAAGGGAGCGCGUGGACCACCAGGUGGCGCUGCUGCGCCGCUCCUGCUCCCAGGAGGUGGACGCCCAGGAUGGGCUCUCAGGUGGAGAGGGGGAUGUCAUUGCUCAUCCUCCAGCUUCCAAGUAGAAACCUCCCUGCCCAGCCCAUCUCGUUCUCCCUGAAUCCUCAACACUAACGAGGACUGUCUCCUUCUCACCUCCCUGGACUGGACUUUCUAUCACUGGAAAGUGCAUGUGAUUUCUAGUUUCAGCAUGUCCUGGCUUAUUGUGCUGCCAGGAAAAUAAAAUCAAAAUACACGUUGAAUAAAUAACAAAUAACACAUAG